GGCGAAGACCGGCAGCGGACGCAGGCCUUGCGCCUGCAGAGCCUCGAUCAAGGCUUCGACGGGGCGGGUUUCGCCGCUUUGGACGAGUGCGCGGUAGAAGGCGAUCGCGACUGCCGGGGGUUCAAAUCCCUCCUCCGCUACCA
rnacentral:tRNA from 1 species